CAGUGUUGUCAUGUAUGUUCUGGGAGAGUGCAGGGUCCUCACAUCACAAUAGGGUGAAGGUCAUGUGAUGGAUAUGUGGAUGCCCUGUCCCCUACUAUCUAGAGGUGAAGGCUGUCAUCUCACAUAUCUGACCUUUGAAUUUGGUGUCCUCAUUGGAUGGCCUGUCUUCACCUGAUGGAAGAGGAAGGUCCUGCCCUCAAACUGAGGAAGACUGAGUGCCUUGUUCCCUGAUGAUGGAAGGAUAAUCACAUGAACACUCCUGUGGGAUAGUGAACACCAUCAUUUCUCCUAAUGGAAGGGGAGGUGAAGGACCUGAUGGAAGAGUGAAGAUCUGAUUGUCAACAGGAACAUGAAUGCAGUUUCUACAGCUCAUGGGAGAGUGAACUCUGUGGACUCAGCUGAUGGAAGGGAGAAGUCUGACCUCGCUGGAGAGAAGAGCAAAUGCCAUGUUCCAAGCUUACAGAAUUUGAAUGCCUUCUCAUGGAGGGAUGUGGGAGCAUCCAGUCCUCUACCAAAUGAAAGAUUGUCAUCAGUGUUCACCGGAUGGAACUCUGAAUACCUUCUCACCAGAUGGCAUGUUGGAGGCCAUGUCCUAAUGGGGCAGUAAGGUGAAUUUCAUAUUAGGUGAAGAUAGGGUGAAGACCCUGUCCCCUCAUGUGAUAGAAGGGUGAAUGAAAGGUACUCAGGUGAUGGUAAGUGAAUUUCCUGUUUCCCCUGAUGGAAAGCUAAAUGCUCCUAUGAGAAGGUGAAUUCUGUGUACCCAGCCAAUGGAAGAGGAAGCAUUCUUUCUUCACCUGAGGGAAGGUUGGACAUCUUUAUCCUAUGUCUGUAGAGUGAAUAUAGUUUCCUCAAGGGGUGAUAGGGAGAAGGCCAUGUCUUUAUGUGAGAGAAUUCUGAAUACCUUGUCCUCAGUAGAAGGAA